GCGGCCUAUCAGCUUGUUGGUGGGGUAACGGCCCACCAAGGCAACGACGGGUAGCCGGCCUGAGAGGGUGACCGGCCACACUGGGACUGAGACACGGCCCAGACUCCUACGGGAGGCAGCAGUGGGGAAUAUUGGACAAUGGGCGAAAGCCUGAUCCAGCAACGCCGCGUGAGGGAUGACGGCCUUCGGGUUGUAAACCUCUUUCAUCCACGACGAAGCGAAAGUGACGGUAGUGGGAGAAGAAGCACCGGCCAACUACGUGCCAGCAGCCGCGGUAAUACGUAGGGUGCGAGCGUUGUCCGGAAUUAUUGGGCGUAAAGGGCUCGUAGGCGGUUUGUCGCGUCGGGAGUGAAAACUCAGGGCUUAACCCUGAGCCUGCUUCCGAUACGGGCAGACUAGAGGUAUGCAGGGGAGAAUGGAAUUCCUGGUGUAGCGGUGAAAUGCGCAGAUAUCAGGAGGAACACCGGUGGCGAAGGCGGUUCUCUGGGCAUUACCUGACGCUGAGGAGCGAAAGUGUGGGGAGCGAACAGGAUUAGAUACCCUGGUAGUCCACACCGUAAGCGUUGGGCGCUAGGUGUGGGACUCAUUCCACGAGUUCCGUGCCGCAGCUAACGCAUUAAGCGCCCCGCC
rnacentral:rRNA from 1 species